GCCUGGCUAGCUCAGUCGGUAGAGCAUGAGACUCAUAAUCUCGUGGUUUCGAGCCCCACUUUUGGCG